rnacentral:rRNA from 1 species
AUUGAACGCUGGCGGCAUGCUUUACACAUGCAAGUCGAACGGUAACAGGCCGCAAGGUGCUGACGAGUGGCGAACGGGUGAGUAACGCAUCGGAACGUGCCCAGUCGUGGGGGAUAACUACUCGAAAGAGUAGCUAAUACCUCAUACGAUCUAUGGAUGAAAGCGGGGGACCGUAAGGCCUCGCGCGAUUGGAGCGGCCGAUGUCAGAUUAGGUAGUUGGUGGGGUAAAGGCUCACCAAGCCAACGAUCUGUAGCUGGUCUGAGAGGACGACCAGCCACACUGGGACUGAGACACGGCCCAGACUCCUACGGGAGGCAGCAGUGGGGAAUUUUGGACAAUGGGCGCAAGCCUGAUCCAGCAAUGCCGCGUGCAGGAAGAAGGCCUUCGGGUUGUAAACUGCUUUUGUACGGAACGAAACGGCUCUGGUUAAUACCCGGGGCUAAUGACGGUACCGUAAGAAUAAGCACCGGCUAACUACGUG